rnacentral:rRNA from 1 species
AACGAACGCUGGCGGCAGGCCUAACACAUGCAAGUCGAACGCUGUAGCAAUACAGAGUGGCAGACGGGUGAGUAACGCGUGGGAACGUGCCCUUUGGUUCGUAAUAACCCAGGGAAACUUGGGCUAAUACCGGAUACGUCCGUAAGGAGAAAGAUUUAUCGCCAAAGGAUCGGCCCGCGUCGGAUUAGCUAGUUGGUGAGGUAAAGGCUCACCAAGGCGACGAUCCGUAGCUGGUCUGAGAGGAUGACCAGCCACACUGGGACUGAGACACGGCCCAGACUCCUACGGGAGGCAGCAGUGAGGAAUAUUGGACAAUGGGCGCAAGCCUGAUCCAGCCAUGCCGCGUGAGUGAAGAAGGCCUUAGGGUUGUAAAGCUCUUUCAGCGGGGAAGAUAAUGACGGUACCCGCAGAAGAAGCCCCGGCUAACUCCGUGCCAGCAGCAGCCG